rnacentral:rRNA from 1 species
AAUUUUGCGCAAUGGGGGAAACCCUGACGCAGCGACGCCGCGUGAGCGAUGAAGGCCUUCGGGUCGUAAAGCUCUGUCCAUGGGGACGAUAAUGACGGUACCCGUGGAGGAAGCCCCGGCUAACUACGUGCCAGCAGCCGCGGCAAGACGUAGGGGGCGAGCGUUGUCCGGAAUUACUGGGCGUAAAGGGCGUGUAGGCGGCCUAGCAAGUCAGUUGUGAAAUCCCAGGGCUUAACCCUGGGCUAGCAACUGAAACUGUUAAGCUUGAGUGCAUCAGAGGAGAGCGGAAUUCCUAGUGUAGCGGUGACAUGCGUAGAUAUUAGGAGGAACACCCGUGGCGAAGGCGGCUCUCUGGGGUGCAACUGACGCUGAGGCGCGAAAGCUGGGGGAGCGAACG